CCUUAGCCGAGAGGUUUGGGAAAUCUUGAGAAACUCCGUCGUGCUGGGGAUAGAGCAUUGUAAUUUUUGCUCUUCAACGAGGAAUUCCUAGUAAGCGCAAGUCAUCAGCUUGCGUUGAUUACGUCCCUGCCCUUUGUACACACCGCCCGUCGCUACUACCGAUUGAAUGGCUUAGUGAGGCUUCCGGAUGGAUUUCUAGGGGGGUAACCUUUUGGAGAUACAGAAGCUGGUCAAACUUGGUCAUUUAGAGGAAGUAAAAGUCGUAACAAGGUUUCCGUAGGUGAACCUGCGGAAGGAUCAAUA
rnacentral:rRNA from 1 species